rnacentral:rRNA from 1 species
GAGUUUGAUCAUGGCUCAGAUUGAACGCUGGCGGCAUGCUUUACACAUGCAAGUCGAACGGCAGCACGAGUGCUUGCACUUGGUGGCGAGUGGCGAACGGGUGAGUAAUGCAUUGGAACGUGCCUUGUAUUGGGGGAUAACUGAGCGAAAGCUUAGCUAAUACCGCAUACGCCCUGAUGGGGAAAGCUGGGGAUCGUUUGACCUGGCGAUAUAAGAGCGGCCAAUGUCUGAUUAGCUAGUUGGUGAGGUAAAGGCUUACCAAGGCGACGAUCAGUAGCGGGUCUGAGAGGAUGAUCCGCCACACUGGGACUGAGAGACGGCCCAGACUCCUACGGGAGGCAGCAGUGGGGAAUUUUGGACAAUGGGGGGAACCCUGAUCCAGCCAUGCCGCGUGUCUGAAGAAGGCCUUCGGGUUGUAAAGGACUUUUGUUGGGGAGCAAAGGUAUCUGGUUAAGAGCUGGAGAUUA